CAGCCGCCGCGGUAAUACGUAGGUGACAAGCGUUGUCCGGAUUUACUGGGCGUAAAGAGCGCGCAGGCGGUCGAUCAAGUCGAGUGUGAAAGCCCCCGGCUCAACUGGGGAGGGUCAUUCGAUACUGAUCGACUCGAAGGCAGGAGAGGGUAGUGGAAUUCCCGGUGUAGUGGUGAAAUGCGUAGAUAUCGGGAGGAACACCAGUGGCGAAGGCGACUACCUGGCCUGUUCUUGACGCUGAGGCGCGAAAGCUAGGGGAGCAAACGGGAUUAGAUACCCCGGUAGUCCUAGCCGUAAACGAUGGACACUAGGUGUUGGUGGUAUCAACCCCGCCAGUGCCGAAGCUAACGCAUUAAGUGUCCCGCCUGGGGAGUACGGCCGCAAGGCUAAAACUCAAAGGAAUUGACGG
rnacentral:rRNA from 1 species